UCCCUGGUAGUAUAUCGGUUUAGUACACGCGCCUGUCAUCGAGAUACACGUAGAUGUGAUCGCGCGAAAGCUGGGUUCGACUCCCAGCCAGGGAG
rnacentral:tRNA from 1 species